UAAGCAUAUCAAUAAGCGGAGGAAAAGAAACCAACAGGGAUUGCCCUAGUAACGGCGAGUGAAGCGGCAACAGCUCAAAUUUGAAAUCUGGCCCUCGGGUCCGAGUUGUAAUUUGCAGAGGAUGCUUUGGGCGCGGCGCCUUCCGAGUUCCCUGGAACGGGACGCCACAGAGGGUGAGAGCCCCGUCUGGUUGGAUGCCUAGCCUAUGUAAAGCUCCUUCGACGAGUCGAGUAGUUUGGGAAUGCUGCUCUAAAUGGGAGGUACAUGCCUUCUAAAGCUAAAUACCGGCCAGAGACCGAUAGCGCACAAGUAGAGUGAUCGAAAGAUGAAAAGCACUUUGAAAAGAGGGUUAAAUAGUACGUGAAAUUGUUGAAAGGGAAGCGCUUGUGACCAGACUUGGGCUUGGUGAAUCAUCCAGCGUUCUCGCUGGUGCACUUUGCCGGUCCAGGCCAGCAUCAGCUCGCGGCGGGGGAUAAAGGCUUCGGGAAUGUGGCUCCCUCGGGAGUGUUAUAGACCGUUGUGUAAUACCCUGCUGUGGGCUGAGGUUCGCGCUCUGCACGGAUGCUGGCGUAAUGGUCAUCAGCGACCCGUCUUGAAACACGGACCAAGGAGUCGUCUUCGUAUGCGAGUGUUCGGGUGUCAAACCCCUACGCGUAAUGAAAGUGAACGCAGGUGAGAGCUUCGGCGCAUCAUCGACCGAUCCUGAUGUUCUCGGAUGGAUUUGAGUAAGAGCAUACGGGGCCGGACCCGAAAGAAGGUGAACUAUGCCUGUAUAGGGUGAAGCCAGAGGAAACUCUGGUGGAGGCUCGCAGCGGUUCUGACGUGCAAAUCGAUCGUCAAAUAUGGGCAUGGGGGCGAAAGACUAAUCGAACCUUCUAGUAGCUGGUUUCCGCCGAA
rnacentral:rRNA from 1 species